AAGAUAAACUUUGCUAUUCUAGCACCAUCUUCACAUUAUUAGGAAAGGGGGGAUACUAACUAUAAAGCAAUGUUUGUAUUAAAACUUAUGGGGCAUAAACUGGAAUACAUUACAUUAGUAUACUGUAUUGUUGUUUAAGUGCCCUUGCCUAGUGGAAUUUUGCUAGUAAUAAAGAGUGGAAUAUGUAGUUGUGUGUAUACUUAUGUAGGUAUUUACCAGGCUUUUGAGUGUUCUUGUUCUAUACCUUUAUCUUGUAAAUAUUUUGAAAAUGUGGUUCUAAGCAACAGAAAUGAAUACGAUCUAGAACAGUUAUCAAAAAUAAAUACAGAGUUCCAAGAUCAUUUAUCUAAAUGGGGUUGUUGAAUGAGGAGUCUUAAAAAAUACUGUCUAUAUUCAGAGUGCCUGCUUGUCUAGGUGUUAUCUCAAAGAAAACACUUGGAAUUUGGGCAGUAGAAACGUGUGAAAGAUAAGUAGAAAAUACGGAUGAUAAAUUACUCUUUUGGGAAUUUGUAAUAGACUCUUUUUCUGUGGACUUCUCAUUAACUUGUCUUGAUAGCAGAUAGGCAGAGAGCAUAUAAUUCUGCUUUUCUGCUUGUGUAAUAACACCGGGUUUAGUUGAGGUUUUGGUUCUAGUUAUGGCUACAGCACAGACUAAUAAUUAGUCAAGCUUGUUAACCUGGUGCCUGUUUCUUCUUUUCUUGGGUCACUUCAUUCUGUUUUAGAUUAGUGUUAUUUAUGUUUAUGUAUUUUUUAGUGUACUAGACCAGGGGCUGGCCACCCUUUCCUGUAAAAUGACAGGUAGUAGAUGUUUUAGGGUUUGUGGGCCAUAUGGUCUUUGUUUCAGCUAUUGAAUUCUGAGGUUAUUCAGUGAAAACAGCCACAGAUAAUAAUACAUAAAUGAAUGAGAAUGAUUGUUACAAUAAAAUUUUAUUUACAAAAACUGAUAAGCUGGAUUUGGCCCAUGGGUUGUUGCCUCCUAUAGUAGCCCUCUAAACUUCUUGAGGGCAGCUCUCAUAUUUUACUUUUUGUUGAAUUGGUUACAGUGCCUAGGCACAAUCCUCUGCACUACAUAAGCACUAUUUGCUUUUUGCAAAUAGAGAAUACUACUUUCUUUGCAUGUGUUUUUGGGACAAAAAAGAGACUAAUUGGAGUUGUUAGGGAAAGCUUUGUGGGACUUUUUGAAGAUGGUGACAUUGGAAGGAUAGUUUUUGCCAAAUUAUAGAAGCAAGAUGGGACAUUUGUAUUUAAUUCAUUGAAUAGUGUGAGGACAGCAAUAAUUUUGAACAGAAGUACAAAUGACAGUUUGGAUUAUUGAGGUUGGGCUUUAAGAAGAUUAAUCCAGAAGCAGUUUGUAGGAUGAGUUAGAGGAGGAAGAGACAGGUAUGAAGUCUAUGUAGGCUAGCCAGGAUAGUAUCAUGAUAUUAUUGAGAAUAGAAAGAAUGAGGUGGUUUCUCUAAUUCUUCCUGAAAGAAGGGUCGUUUUUGGCUGUAACUUUGGAAAACCGCUGCAUACUUUGUUCUUAAUACACAUUAGUGUAUAAGAUAGUUUUCAGAAGGCCUGUAGUACAGAAACUUUAGUUUGAUUUAAUCUUAUGGAUUUCAGACUUAACCUUAGAACUGGUAACAUCAGAAGGAAGUUCUGAAGAACACAAUUGGGGAAUGUUUUAUGUGAUUUGAUAGCUCAUAGAAUAUAGUGGGUGGUGGGAAUAGUUACUGAAAAAUACAGGUUUUACAACUUAUUUAAAAUAGAAAACUUUUUUCUUAUUAUAAAAGGAAUGCAUACUUAUUAUGAGAAUGUAAGUAAUACAGUUAGUAACAGAAUCUGAACAUCAUUGUCCAACUUUACUUCUCAGAGAUAACCACAGCCAGUGAAGUUUUAAGUCAAGUGACUGGGAGACUUAAUGGCAAGAGACUGGAGUUAUAGGGGCCAGAAAGGGUCUCAUGAAAUUGAGGAAGUCUGAGGACAUCUGGGAAGGAUGAUUAAGCUGAGAGGCAGGACAGCAGGGAGAGAAUAAAGCAGGUGAAGGCAGGGAAACUAGAAUCUUACUGGUUGUGAUUGGGGAAUAGCAGAUAAUGGUGGGUUAAAUAAUUGUAAGGAAGUAUUAUAAGAGAUUUUAAGUCUAGCAGUCAUUUGGUGCAACAUUUGUAGUUACGAACAGGAGAGAAUGACUGAGAAUAUUGGAAUGUGAAAAUAAACUAAUACUUGCAUUUGCCUGAAUGUUCUCAUGCCUCUUUUUCCCCUUUGCCCACAGCACAGAUAUUAAAGUCUGUGGGGAAAGGGGGAGGUAUAAGGCAACUAAACAGUAAUGGGAAAAAAAUACAAUAAAGAUUAAAUUAUAAAAAAAAAAACAACCCAGAUACUAAACUGGCUAGAAUUGGAAUCUAACUACUAUCCAUUAAGUUUGCUUCCUAUUUUCUGCUACCAUCAAGAAUCCAGAAAUAAAUAUAUUUGUGUGCACAUGAUGUAAUGGUUUUGAUAAUUGUCAAAUUGCUUUCCAAAAGAGUUGAAACAUAGGCUAUCAGCAGUGUAUGAGUGUUACUUUACACUAUUUAUUUGCCCAUAUUGGGAACGAUAAUUAAAAUUCUUUUUUGUUAGCUUAUUAAGUGAAAAGUAGCACAUCAUGGUUUUACUUUGCAAGGGCUUUGGAGUUCAAGUCAUGGUUCUAACAUGUUAACCCUUCCUGAUUUAUUUUCCUUAUAAAAUGAAAAUUCUAGAAAUCUCGUGAGGUAUUAGGAGAACUAAAUAAACAAAUGCAUAUGAAAACAUGUUAUUGAUUCAGACAUAAUAUAAAUAACAAUCGUUAUGGUGUCCUAACUGAAAAAA